rnacentral:rRNA from 1 species
AGAAUCAACGCUGGCGGCGUGCCUAACACAUGCAAGUCGCACGAGAAAGGGACUUCGGUCCUGAGUAAAGUGGCGCACGGGUGAGUAACACGUGAAUCAUCUACCUCCGAAUGGGGAAUAACUGAGAGAAAUCUUAGCUAAUACCGCAUAAUACCUACGGGUCAAAGCAGCAAUGCGUUUGGAGAGGAGUUCGCGGUCGAUUAGUUAGUUGGCGGGGUAAUGGCCCACCAAGACGAUGAUCGAUAUCCGGCCUGAGAGGGCGCACGGACACACUGGAACUGAAACACGGUCCAGACUCCUACGGGAGGCAGCAGUGGGGAAUUUUGCGCAAUGGGGGAAACCCUGACGCAGCAACGCCGCGUGGAGGAUGAAAUAUCUUGGUAUGUAAACUCCUUUCGAUGGGGAAGAUAAUGACGGUACCCAUAGAAGAAGCCCCGGCUAACUUCGCGCCAGCAGCCGC